rfam:Schistosoma mattheei strain Denwood, Zambia genome assembly, scaffold: SMTD_scaffold0006943
AUCCAGCUGACGAUUCCCAAAAAGGACGAAACGCGCGUCCUGGAU